UCCAUUAUGCUUGAAGAAAUUUCCAAAUAAAACGACAUCUUCUGCACAGCCCAGCCUCAAACACAGCCAUACUUAUCUAGUAUAAUAAACUCUGUAGUAAACUGUUUUUGACCGCCAUAGAGAGUAGGAGUUGUCAAAUUUCAGGAGAUAAACUCCUCUCCCUGGGUACUGGUGGCUGCCAGCAUACACUUCUUCAUGACAGUCUCGUCUGUACACAGGCACUAUUUCAUCUAGCUGAGGCUUGUUGGCAUUCUUUUUGGCUUUUUCUUCACUGCUAGCAUUUUCUUCCUCUUCAUCCUCAUCAUCACUGGAUUCGCUGACAUGCACACUCACUGCAGUAUUAGGGGAGUCUGUCCAUUCAAAAUACACCCCAAAACCAAUGUCAUAACUGUCUGUAGCAAACUCCCAAAAGAGGUAAGACCCCUCUUCAUGAGUUGGUACUCUAACUGUAACCACUUCCCCUCGGCCCACUGUGAUCACAGAGUCUGCAUCCUGCCGGAUUUUCUCUUUGAAGUCUUUUAUCUGGGGUCGUGUCCACAUCGAUGGAGCAGCUAUCACUGGAACAGAAUCUUUUGGUCCAUUCUCCAAUGCUUCUUCCAAAGCCUCUGGAUCCAGCUCCUUUUCAGGGUUGUCUGUGUGUGCACUGGCUUGCCCAUUAAUAGACGGCAUAUCCCCUUGGGCAGGUACAUUCACCUUGGAUGCAGUAGUCAGAGGUGUCCCUGCUGCUGCCACAACUGCCUCCUGCUGUUUCUGCAAGGCUGCCUGUUGCUGUGCAAGCUGGACUUGAUACAACUGCUGCAUGUACUGUUGAUAGUGCUGCUCUUGGAGCUGUCGAAUGAGGAUCUGCUGCUGUUCAUAGUUGCCGGGAUACUGCUGAGCAGCAUACUGCUGGAACUGCAUGGCAGUCUGGGAGUUGAGUGCUGCCAUGAUCUGUUGCUUUUGCUGUUCCAUCCGAAGCCGCUCCUCCUCUAUUCUCCUCCUCUCCUCUUCCUCUCUUCUCAGCCUCUCUUCUUCCUCUUGCCUGCGUUUUUCUUCUUCUUUCUGUAACCGCUCAAGCUCCUCUUCUUCACGGCGCCUUCGUUCCUCCUCCUCUCUUCUUUUCUUUUCUUGUUCUUCUUUUUCUAUCUUGUGAGAAGUAACAUACGUUGAGAACAAGUGGCAGCACCUAUUUAGGAGCUUAACAAAUUCUGUCAUAGCUUCUUGCUUCGACAUGUUUCCAAGGGCAGCCCAUUCCUUCCUUCUAUCAUUCCCCAGCACAUCAAAGAACCCAACUUCAGGGCAAGUAUCAGGGUUGUAAGGUCCCAGCAGAACCUGCUUGUGCAGUGCCACAAGUCUGAGUUUUUCUUCAUAUGUUGGAUGAAAGGCUUUGCCAUCUUUUUCCUUGAAGAAGCGCAGUGCCAGGCCGUACAGCUCCUCCAGCGCGAAGCCCCAGCGCCGCUCCGGGCUCAGCGCCGCCGCCUCCUCCCCGCCGGCCUCCGCCUGACUCGGGCAGCCGGGGCCCGCUCGGUUCCGCCCCGCGGCCGAAUCCCCGUGGCCGGGCCGCGCUUCGCAGGGCGGCGCCUCGGCGUUGGGACUCAGCGUCAACCCGUCCACCGACACCUCCAACCGCUCCGCGCUCAGAGCCGCCGCCAUCCUCCGGCUCCGCUGCGGCGGCCACGUCCCGACUUCCC
rnacentral:lncRNA from 1 species